UGGAUCCAGACUUUGAUCCUGGCUCAGGACGAACGCUGGCGGCGUGCUUAACACAUGCAAGUCGAACGGAGAACUUAUUUCGGUAAGUUCUUAGUGGCGAACGGGUGAGUAACGCGUGGGCAACCUGCCCUCCAGUUGGGGACAACAUUCCGAAAGGGAUGCCAAUACCGAAUAUGCUCCCUCCUCCGCAUGGAGGAGGGAGGAAAGAUGGCCUCUGCUUGCAAGCUAUCGCUGGAAGAUGGGCCCGCGUCUGAUUAGCUAGUUGGUGGGGUAACGGCUCACCAAGGCGAUGAUCAGUAGCCGGUCUGAGAGGAUGAACGGCCACAUUGGGACUGAGACACGGCCCAAACUCCUACGGGAGGCAGCAGUGGGGAAUCUUCCGCAAUGGACGAAAGUCUGACGGAGCAACGCCGCGUGAGUGAUGAAGGUCUUCGGAUUGUAAAACUCUGUUGUUAGGGACGAAAGCACCGUGUUCGAACAGGUCAUGGUGUUGACGGUACCUAACGAGGAAGCCACGGCUAACUACGUGCCAGCAGCCGCGGUAAUACGUAGGUGGCAAGCGUUGUCCGGAAUUAUUGGGCGUAAAGAGCAUGUAGGCGGGCUUUUAAGUCUGACGUGAAAAUGCGGGGCUUAACCCCGUAUGGCGUUGGAUACUGGAAGUCUUGAGUGUAGGAGAGGAAAGGGGAAUUCCCAGUGUAGCGGUGAAAUGCGUAGAUAUUGGGAGGAACACCAGUGGCGAAGGCGCCUUUCUGGACUGUGUCUGACGCUGAGAUGCGAAAGCCAGGGUAGCAAACGGGAUUAGAUACCCCGGUAGUCCUGGCCGUAAACGAUGGAUACUAGGUGUAGGAGGUAUCGACCCCUUCUGUGCCGGAGUUAACGCAAUAAGUAUCCCGCCUGGGGACUACGAUCGCAAGAUUGCAACUCAAAGGAAUUGACGGA
rnacentral:rRNA from 2 species